GCCCUUGCCUCCACGAACGUUCCAAGCGUGCGGAUUGGCCCUGACGCGCCGGACACUCACCGGCAGCCGGAAUUCCAAGUUCUCCUGCGCGAGGAGCAGUAAGUACCGCGCUCGCCCUGCGCCCGGCCGUGCCAUGGCCCCCGGCUCCCGGUCGGGAGAAGCACGCAUGCGCGCCUGGGCUGGGAGGCUGAGCUAGGAGCAGGAGUAGCAGCGGAGGAAGUGAUGAGAGCAGCCAACAGGAAAAGGGCGGAUCAGCAGGAGAAGGCUGAUUCAUUUCUUUUCCUGGGAUGUUACAGUCUUCUUGAGGCAUGGAGGGAAGAGAAAGGUCCAGUACCAAAACAGCGAGGGCCCACCGUGGCGUCGUGGGAGAGCUGACACAGGGCUGGCAGAGCUGGUCCGACGAUCACGUUGAUUAUCAAAAACGGAACCCAUUCAGCAGCAACGAACCAGUGACACUGCGGACUGUGAAAGGCAAUCCCACUUACGGGAGGCCACCAGAAGGAUCGAAAACAGAGCAGAGGGGGAAAGAUGCUCACACGCAUAUUGGCAAGGAAGUUGAGGAAUUAUGCUUGGUCAUACGCAGCGUUGGGGAGAGAGGACAAGAUGGGCGUGUGCGGAUAAGCUUUAAGCACCUUUUUGACAGAUAUGUGACUAUAUCCAACAAAGUUGUAGGUGUCCUCUUGAGAGCGAGAAAGCACGGGCUAAUUGACUUUGAAGGUGAAAUGCUUUGGCAAGGAAGAGAUGACAAUGUAGUCAUCACAUUACUUUGAAUGAAUUGGGUAAACUUCAUUGCAUGAUACUCUGGGGAACAUUUUCAAUACUUUUAAGUGGCAACCAUGCUGGCUGGUCAACCAUGCUGGCUGGUGCUAUGUUAAAAUGAGAUACAUGGUUGCUAGUUCAUGCCUUUGACCCACUGAAUUCUGCAGUGUCUUGAAUUUACUCUAUUUAGGAUUAAACCUCAGCAUGGUGUCUCCCCACCAAUUAAGCUGUGAGUGUGUGUGAACUGAAACUAGGCAAAUAUGACUAAUAACUGUGGCUGUGCUAGAAAUAUACAAUGUUAGUAAAUUAAAGGAUUUUGAGCAUA